rnacentral:rRNA from 1 species
GAACGCUGGCGGCAUGCUUUACACAUGCAAGUCGAACGGUAACAGGUCUUCGGAUGCUGACGAGUGGCGAACGGGUGAGUAAUGUAUCGGAACGUGCCCAGUAGUGGGGGAUAACUACUCGAAAGAGUGGCUAAUACCGCAUGAGAACUGAGGUUGAAAGCGGGGGACCUUCGGGCCUCGCGCUACUGGAGCGGCCGAUAUCAGAUUAGGUAGUUGGUGGGGUAAAGGCUCACCAAGCCGACGAUCUGUAGCUGGUCUGAGAGGACGACCAGCCACACUGGGACUGAGACACGGCCCAGACUCCUACGGGAGGCAGCAGUGGGGAAUUUUGGACAAUGGACGCAAGUCUGAUCCAGCAAUGCCGCGUGCAGGACGAAGGCCUUCGGGUUGUAAACUGCUUCUGUACAGAACGAAAAGGCUCUGGUUAAUACCUGGGGCUCAUGACGGUACUGUAAGAAUAAGCACCGGCUAACUACGUG